rnacentral:rRNA from 1 species
UACGUAGGGUGCAAGCGUUUGUCCGGAAUUAUUGGGCGUAAAGAGCUCGUAGGCGGUUUGUCGCGUCUGCUGUGAAAACCCGAGGCUCAACCUCGGGCCUGCAGUGGGGUACGGGCAGACUAGAGUGCGGUAGGGGAGAUUGGAAUUCCUGGUGUAGCGGUGGAAUGCGCAGAUAUCAGGAGGAACACCAAGUGGCGAAGGCAGAUCUCUGGGCCGUAACUGACGCUGGAGGAGCGAAAGCAUGGGGAGCGAACAGG